rnacentral:tRNA from 1 species
GGGAAUGUCGUCUAACGGUUAGGACCUUUGAUUUUUAAUCAAACUAUACUGGUUCAAUUCCAGUCGUUCUCA